UUGGUGUUGGCAAGAUCAGUAAGUAGGCAGCCACUCACCAGUUCAGAGAAAGCCUUCAAAUGACACUUGAAGACGGGACGGCGUCCUUCGGGGUGGCUGUGCUGCAUUGGCGAGGCCUUCGAGCAUUUUUAUGACAUCCACGGUGUCAUCGAGAUAGUACUUGGCUUUGCUCGGUUUCUUACCGACAGUGCAGGCAAACACUUCAGCGAUCGCUGGCAAAGUUGGGUUGUUGGUGUAAGCUGCGAUGCUCUCAAACAUGUCCUCAUCAGACCGGUCAUCUCCGAUGCAGAGGACGAAAUCUGGUGCUUUCCCGGUACUUGACAUGGUCGAUAUCAGCUUCUCCACCACGAGGCCCUUGCUUACUCCCUGAGGGUUCACUUCUACGAUAUGUUGGCCCCUUUUGACAACGACAGGUUCGUUGGCGAGCACAUUUUCAAGGUGAUCAAGGAGUUCCUUGGCCUGGCAUGAUCCGAAAUCUGGAUCGGCUUCCAGAUGAUGCCACACCAAUGCACUCUCCUUGUGCUCGAUAUAGGAACCGUCAGUAGCCUCCGUGUAAAGUUGCAUUACAGGUUCAGCAAUGUGUUUCCAAUCGAAAUCGGCAGACAAAUGUGUGGACUCCCAUGAAGAGUCCCUG
rnacentral:misc_RNA from 1 species